UAGUAUUGUCAUAUUGCAGCAUGUUUUUUUCCCUUGUGCUUCUGAACUUUGCUUAAUCAUUGGUUCAAAGUUUUGCAAUACUCUCAGGCUAUACUGGCUUCAAUUUCAAGGAGAUCCAUGUGAAUAACCCCAUCUAUAUUCCCCAAAAUUAUAACAUUUUUUUUCCUGAAGCCUGAGUUUUUAUUUUUUUUUUCCCCCUGCAGGGUUAUUCCAUGGACUGACACUUUGUUUCUAGGUCAUAAUGAUGAGCCCAUGUUUUGUCAGCUGUCACAGUGCUGUGAAGAAAUUCCUGAGGUUCAUUCUCAGUGUGAGAUUUGUGCUGAAAAUUUCAACUCUGGAAGCUUUAAUCUUGGCCGUCAGCCUGCGAGGAACCAUCUUGCACAAACCUUCCAAUUUUGAAAAAACAAUCGCUAACUCAUACAUUUCUAUAAAAUACUGAGCUUGGCAGCAAUUUAUUUUCAACUGAUCCACUAAUUCUCUUAAAUUAUUUCAUCAAACUUUGUCAUGUGAAACUCAUCACUUACUCUCAUAGGUCAUCCAUUCUUUAUUACACAAAUUAACUUUUCCCAGUUUACCUGCUUUACAUUGUUUGGCCCAGUAAUGCAAAGUAUUUACACGAGCAUAUUACCAUUAACAAACUGCGUUUAGUAGUGUAUUUCAGUUGGAAAGACUCUUCGGCAAUUAAAAAUUCAAUUGCAACAUUUUGCCUGAAGGACUCUGAUGAGUACUUAGACAAGUUUCCAUUUCAUAAAUGAUAGCAAAGCAAGCUUUUUUUUUUCAAUAACUUCCUGCUGAAAAAGCAGAAGAAAAAAAGUGAAUGUUACAAGGAUGUUAUGAAACACGUCAGAGCUUCUAUUAUGUCAAUACUGCCAUCUGUUGGUUACGUAAAACAUAGGAAGGCUUUUCAUUCAACCUUCAAAGAAAGGGCAACUAUAGUAAAGUGAGUGCUUAGGUGUAAUGCAGUGCAUUAUAAAAUAAUAUGCUGAUCACUUUUUGACAAUUCAAAUGUGUUUUUUAACUACUGAUGCAGAAGAUUUGAUGAUUAUUUUGGUCAAGUUCAACCUGAAAUGAAUAGAACAUGAAGCUGGAAAAAAGCUGGAAUGCUAAAGAUGGAAAUAAUAAAGGAAGAAAACAUAGUUUGAUAAUAUGUGCUGACUAUAUUAAUCUGUGGAAUAUCCUUAGGAAAAUAGGUACCCCAUAACAUCUCAUUUUUCUUAUGUGAAAUCAUUACAAAGAAUAAUAAGCCAUAACCUGGAGCAUACAUGAGGAAAUAAAUUGGCUUGUCUCUCUAGGUUGACAAAAAGUCAUGGUUGAAUACUCUUUCCUUAUUUACUCAACCUAUAUGCUGUAUAGAGAUAGUUUGGAUUGGAAGAAGAUGAGUAUAGGUUUAGUACUGAGGAACCAACAGCAAUAAUCUGUGCUGUAAUGAAGGCAUUUUUUGAUAGCUGGAAAUAUAAAUGAUUUGUAAGUUCUGGUAAUGAAGUCAAGGAACAGUGAAAAAAAUUGGACUGUGAUUAAAUAUAGUCAAAACAAUAACAACAGGAACAGUAAUGAAUCUUGAGUGACAAUAAAGAUAUUCAAGUGAUGGAUACCUUCUGCCGUUUAAGAUCAACUAUCAAUCAGGGUGUUUUUUUUUUGUUUUUUUUUUAAGUCAAUAAAUAUAGCAUGGACUAGCACUUUGCCUGGUAGCAAUGAAGUUCUUGGAAAAUAAAUUUAAAUGCUGCAAUGUGUUUAUAUCUAAAUAGAUCAGAAUGGCAAUGGUUAUGAUGCUUGGUGGUAACAAAAAAGGAAACAAGUUAGAAAGUGGAUUGAUGCUUUUGAAAUUCGAUGUUAGAAAAGGUCUUCAGAAUACCAGGCAUAGUGAACAAAGCAAAUUAAUCUAGUUAUUCUCACUUGAAAUAUAAAUGACAUAGCUUUUUUUUUAAGGUCCAUUAUGUGAAGAUCCAGUUCUCUUGAGAAGUCUACGAUGCUGGGAAGUUAGGACAAAGAAGAAAAAAGAUGACCAACAAAAAGUUGGAUAAACGUGAUAAUACCAAUGAUCCAUACACCAUUGGGAGAUCUACAAGGCCAGAUUGAAUGAAAACUGAACACUGGAACUGAAAAACUUGAAGGCAAAUGGAAAAUCUAUUUCAAUUUUUUAUUAUGUAAAAAUAAUACAUAUUAUUUGAAAAAGUAAUUCCAAGUAUAGUGGUCUGUCAUUUAUAGCAAGAUCUUUCCAAAGAAGCCUGAGAGAUGGAAAACCCUAUAAUUUACAGUGUAUUUGGAGAAAAUAAAUUGUAAUAAAUUUCUUAUAAAUUUCAAUAAAUCUAAAUGCUGUUCGUU